rnacentral:rRNA from 1 species
UACGGAGGGGGCAAGCGUUAUUCGGAAUUAUUGGGCGUAAAGGGCGCGUAGGCGGCUUGGCAAGUGGAUUGUGAAAUCCCUCGGCUUAACCGAGGAACUGCCGUCCAAACUGCUUCGCUUGAGACCGGGAGAGGUGAGUGGAAUUCCCAGUGUAGCGGUGAAAUGCGUAGAUAUUGGGAGGAACACCAGUGGCGAAGGCGGCUCACUGGACCGGUACUGACGCUGAUGCGCGAAAGCGUGGGGAGCAAACGGG